GACGAACGCUGGCGGCGUGCUUAACACAUGCAAGUCGAACGGAAAGGCCCUGCUUUUGUGGGGUGCUCGAGUGGCGAACGGGUGAGUAACACGUGAGUAACCUGCCCUUGACUUUGGGAUAACUUCAGGAAACUGGGGCUAAUACCGGAUAGGAGCUCCUGCUGCAUGGUGGGGGUUGGAAAGUUUCGGCGGUUGGGGAUGGACUCGCGGCUUAUCAGCUUGUUGGUGGGGUAGUGGCUUACCAAGGCUUUGACGGGUAGCCGGCCUGAGAGGGUGACCGGCCACAUUGGGACUGAGAUACGGCCCAGACUCCUACGGGAGGCAGCAGUGGGGAAUAUUGCACAAUGGGCGGAAGCCUGAUGCAGCAACGCCGCGUGCGGGAUGACGGCCUUCGGGUUGUAAACCGCUUUCGCCUGUGACGAAGCGUGAGUGACGGUAAUGGGUAAAGAAGCACCGGCUAACUACGUGCCAGCAGCCGCGGUGAUACGUAGGGUGCGAGCGUUGUCCGGAUUUAUUGGGCGUAAAGGGCUCGUAGGUGGUUGAUCGCGUCGGAAGUGUAAUCUUGGGGCUUAACCCUGAGCGUGCUUUCGAUACGGGUUGACUUGAGGAAGGUAGGGGAGAAUGGAAUUCCUGGUGGAGCGGUGGAAUGCGCAGAUAUCAGGAGGAACACCAGUGGCGAAGGCGGUUCUCUGGGCCUUUCCUGACGCUGAGGAGCGAAAGCGUGGGGAGCGAACAGGCUUAGAUACCCUGGUAGUCCACGCUGUAAACGGUGGGUACUAGGUGUGGGGUCCAUUCCACGGGUUCCGUGCCGUAGCUAACGCUUUAAGUACCCCGCCUGGGGAGUACGGCCGCAAGGCUAAAACUCAAAGGAAUUGACGGGGCCCCGCACAAGCGGCGGAGCAUGCGGAUUAAUUCGAUGCAACGCGUAGAACCUUACCUGGGUUUGACAUGGAUCGGGAGUGCUCAGAGAUGGGUGUGCCUCUUUUGGGGUCGGUUCACAGGUGGUGCAUGGCUGUCGUCAGCUCGUGUCGUGAGAUGUUGGGUUAAGUCCCGCAACGAGCGCAACCCUUGUUCACUGUUGCCAGCACGUUAUGGUGGGGACUCAGUGGAGACCGCCGGGGUCAACUCGGAGGAAGGUGGGGAUGACGUCAAGUCAUCAUGCCCCUUAUGUCCAGGGCUUCACGCAUGCUACAAUGGCUGGUACAGAGAGUGGCGAGCCUGUGAGGGUGAGCGAAUCUCGGGAAGUCGGUCUCAGUUCGGAUUGGGGUCUGCAACUCGACCUCAUGAAGUCGGAGUCGCUAGUAAUCGCAGAUCAGCAACGCUGCGGUGAAUACGUUCCCGGGGCU
rnacentral:rRNA from 1 species